rnacentral:rRNA from 1 species
GUGCCAGCAGCCGCGGUAAUACAGAGGGGGCAAGCGUUAUUCGGAAUUAUUGGGCGUAAAGGGCGCGUAGGCGGCUUGGCAAGUGACGGGUGAAAUCCCUCGGCUUAACCGAGGAACUGCCUGUCAGACUGCUUUGCUUGAGUCCGGGAGAGGUGAGUGGAAUUCCCAGUGUAGCGGUGAAAUGCGUAGAUAUUGGGAGGAACACCAGUGGCGAAGGCGGCUCACUGGACCGGAACUGACGCUGAGGCGCGAAAGCGUGGGGAGCAAACAGGAUUAGAUACCCUUGUAGUCC